UAGCCCCAUAUAUAACCCCUCACCUCGCCCCUGUGCCCCCCCAUAGCCCUGUUCCCCUCUGGGUUUGGCUUUGGGGUAGUUCUGUGGACACGGGGACGCAGGCUCUGGACCGACCCUUGAGGCGAGGGAUUUGCAGCCUGGGAACGUCUUAGGUGGGACAGAAGCGAAGGCGUUUGAUUAAUUCCCAAGUGACUUGUUUACAGACCUCGGUGCCCCAAAGAACGUUGCAGAAUCGACCCUUCCACGCCAGCAAAGGCGAAUCAGCCGCAGCCUGAGCUGAAGGGAGGGAGAGGGACCAUCCAAAGGACGUGCUGGGCACAUAGAGCAGGCGGUGAAAUUCCGUUCACAAACGGUGGGAAUUUGGCAAAGAUCUGCAGGAGCCCUGAGCGUGUCACGCGGAGCCCAGUCCCGUGUGUCUGUCUCCAGCCGCCUGUCGUCUCUCCUCGUGCUGAGACUGUACGUGUCUCGGGGCAGGGACGUCUCGUGCAGCCCCUGGCACGACAAGGCCCUGAUCCCGGCCGGGGGUCCUGGGGCGCCACUGCAAGGCAAAGAAGAAAUAAUGAAAGUAGCAGGAAGCUGGGUGUGCGAAAGCGAAAGUAACCGGGGCUGAGGCUGGGGCUGGGGCUGCCCCGACCUGCCCCGCACCGCACGAUGCCCCUCGCCGUGGCGCCCGGCCUCCUUCUGCUGCUGCUGCUGCUGGCGAACGGGACACGGGGUGCCCUGGUGGUCUCUGUUGCCACCUCCCCGGUGCGGGCCCAGCCAGGCUCCGACCUGCUCCUGGGCUGUCACUUCUCCGUGGGGGGGGACGUGGACAUGGAGGCCCUGGUGGUGCAGUGGAAGCUGGGGGGCCGCCUGGUGGCCGAGUUCGAUGCGGUCCAGUCGUACUCCAGGGCUGGGGCCAGCCUCUCCCUGGAGGGGCUGCGGGUCGGCAACGCCUCCCUGCUCCUCCCACGGGUGGGGGGCUCAGACGCUGGGCUCUACACCUGCUCCAUCAUCCACUCCCCGAGCCGGGAGAGUCGGCAGGUGGAGCUGCGUGUGGAAGCCCCGCCCCGUGUCUCAGUGAGCGGCACUGCGGUGAGGGCUGGCGAGCACAGCACCGUGACCUGCAGCGUGAACGGCUUCUACCCCGAGAGCGUGAAUGUCACAUGGUUGCGGGACAAGCAGGUCGUGGGGGGUCCCGAGACACCCCUUGCCCAGCUGGGCCCUGAUGGUCUGUACAGCGCGACCAGCACCCUCCAACUUGUGCCCAGCAUCUCCCACGCCGACGCCAACUACUCCUGCCGUGUGCAGCACAUCACCCUGGGGACGCCGAUCCAGGAGCCCUUCUGGCUGAGCGUGUUGUCCCAGCCACGACUGACCCUGCUGCAGCCCCUGGUGACCCUGGAGGGGCAGGUCACUCUGCAGUGCCUGGUGAGCGGCUACCACCCCCCCGAGAUCACGGUGCAAUGGCUGCGGGACGGGGACCCCCUGGUCACCAUGGAGUCGUCCCCCAUGAAGCAAACAGACGGGUCCUUCGCCCUCUGCAGCAGCUACAUCCUCAACCACCCAGAGAGCAACGCCCAGGCCAACUUUGCCUGCCGCGUGCAGCACCCGGCGCUGAGCACCCCGCUGGAGAGCACAGCCACCUGGACAGUGCCCACGUGCACCAAGAUGUGUUUAGGGGUCAUCGGACUGAUCCUGCUGGUCCUGCUGGUGCUGCUUGCCACGUGGAUCGUGUACCAGUGCUGCAACAUCAGCAUGUCCCAGAUCCAUGUCGGGGAGUGUUUUCCGGAGAGCAGCGUCACCGUGCUGCUUUGCGAGGCAGAGGGGAGGCUCCGCGACACAGACAGCCUGACCUGGAGGAGCCCGCGCCUGGGGAAGGAGCUGGGCUCUGGGCAGCCCGGGGAGCUGAGCACACUGAUGCCAGAGCAGCACCGCGUGGUGACGUGGCGGCACCGCCUUGGGCUGGGCAGGCAGCGGCUCACGUCUGUCCUCACCGUCCAGACCCCACGUGACGAAGAAUCUUUCAGCUGCACGUUCCGGCUGGGUGCAAGGGACAUGCAGCAGACACAGAUCACAAUCCCCGGCGUGGCAGCGGAUUGCCCCCUUCUCGAUGGAGACAUGGCCAUUUUUUGACUGUCCUGCACUCACGCCACGGCCAAUGCUUGGGAGAGAGAGCCAGCUGCAAACCACUCGGAGAGGAGAGAACAAACUGACCCCUUGUGAUGCUGUGUGAUCGACAUGUGUCCGUCUAUAGCGUUGGUGUUGCCACUCUACUACAACUGCAAGAGAACUUGUACCAAGCAUGUCAUGUCUGGCAUCACUGGGAAAGUUGUGAAUUGCUAAGUGUGGAUAUCUUGAUUAUAUGUGUACGCCUCCUG